UACGUAGGGAGCAAGCGUUGUCCGGAAUCAUUGGGCGUAAAGCGCGCGUAGGCGGCCCCGUAAGUCCGCUGUGAAAGUCAAAGGCUCAACCUUUGAAAGCCGGUGGAAACUGUGGGGCUAGAGUCCGGAAGAGGCGAGUGGAAUUCCUGGUGUAGCGGUGGAAUGCGCAGAUAUCAGGAGGAACACCAAUAGCGAAGGCAGCUCGCUGGGACGGUACUGACGCUAAGGCGCGAAAGCGUGAGGAGCGAACAGG
rnacentral:rRNA from 1 species